AUUUUAUGAUGAGCAACAUAUUCACCAUCUUUCGACCGAAAUUCUGUGUGGAAGUACUAACAUGCUGAAAAUAAUC
rnacentral:snoRNA from 1 species